UCCACUGACUGACUUGUCCAAGGAUCUCAUAUAUAUUAUGGGAGUCCCUUACAAACAUAAUUAAAUCUGUUUUUCUCCCAUUAAUCUGUCUUAUGUCAGUUUGAUUCAUAGACCAGCCAAAAGAACCUAGAAAGAAAGAGAAAAAAAUUUUCCUCCCCUACAGUUGGUGACUCAGAUGGGACAAACUUUGCUGGCUGGACACUGCUUGUUCUGAGGCUGUUGCAGCUGCGAAAUCUUUGACAAAAAAAGCUAAGAAUUCUUACAACAUCAGCCUCUGAGAUCUCUGCCUACAGGGAGAAUUGGAAACAAGAGAGGCCACUUAGAAAGAUCACCAGAGAUAUUCAAAUUACAAAUCAGGAAGAUCUAUCAUAUUGUCACUGCCCGCCCUCACUCCAUCUGAAGAUGCUUCAAGCUGGACAUCUAGAAGUCUUCUCAACUGUCUGCCUUCAAAACUCAUAAACUGUGACUGUAGUCUGCUCUGAUCAUUGGCCAUUGUUUUUCUUUUGUUUCCAUAGAAAUAUCUCUUAUUAAAUACCAGGUGGCUUGCACCACAGGACUAACAUGAGCCCACUUACUUCUCUGCAUCCUGAAAUGAGACACAACUGUUUCACUGAACUGACCUAUUCUCAGGACUAAGAGACUAGUUCAAUUAGGUGAAGCAGUCUAUCAACUUAACUUCUGGACUGCAAAACUUCUUAGGGAAGUUUCAAAGGAAAACAGGAGGAGCAUGAUCCUGAAAUAUGCCACUUUGGCAUGUAGAUUAUUUUGAACUAAAGGCAAUCAAGACCCAGCAGAUUCAAGAAAAACUUUACUUCUCCCUUAACUAUCUAAAAGAAUUUAAAUAGAGAGCCUGGUCCGGAAAGAGAGCUAUUACCAAAGAUAACUUUUUGCCUGAAAGACAUAUCUAUAUGGCAAUGCAAACAUCUAAUUCCCAAACAUCUGCUUUUCCUAUUAUCAGUGAAUCACCUUCCUCCCCUUGAUGCUCUAAGCCCUUAUCCCAUUUCUUAAAUCAGGAAGGCAUAUAAGCUUCAGCUGACUGACUUGUCCUCGGGUGUCAUAUAUUUUAUGGGACUCCCUUAUAAAUGUAAUUAAAUUUGUUUUUCUCCAGUUAA